AGUGAACGCUGGCGGUAGGCCUAACACAUGCAAGUCGAACGGCAGCACAGUAAGAGCUUGCUCUUACGGGUGGCGAGUGGCGGACGGGUGAGGAAUACAUCGGAAUCUACUUUUUCGUGGGGGAUAACGUAGGGAAACUUACGCUAAUACCGCAUACGACCUACGGGUGAAAGCAGGGGAUCUUCGGACCUUGCGCGAUUGAAUGAGCCGAUGUCGGAUUAGCUAGUUUGCGGGGUAAAGGCCCACCAAGGCGACGAUCCGUAGCUGGUCUGAGAGGAUGAUCAGCCAAACUGGAACUGAGACACGGUCCAGACUCCUACGGGAGGCAGCAGUGGGGAAUAUUGGACAAUGGGCGCAAGCCUGAUCCAGCCAUACCGCGUGGGUGAAGAAGGCCUUCGGGUUGUAAAGCCCUUUUGUUGGGAAAGAAAAGCAGCAGGUUAAUACCCCGCUGUUCUGACGGUACCCAAAGAAUAAGCACCGGCUAACUUCGUG
rnacentral:rRNA from 1 species